CUGAAAACAAUAAUUGUUGUUCGGGAAGUUACUAGGAAUUCUUAGCGAGAAAGUGGUACUAUCACCCAUUUACCGGAUUGUGAUGAAUUCAACGGACAAAGGCACUUUCUUGAUCCGGAGCAUUCAGAAAAUCGUGCAGGUGAAAGAACGAAUCAGGAUUGAACCAAAGCUUAGAAUGCCGAUACAUGUGCAGGAAAGAUUCAGAAGUAUGAUUUCGUGCCUAUGUUUACUCGUGGUUUGGACUCUGGAAAGCGAAAGUUUUUAAUAAUCCGAUCAAUGGAGCAUCUACAAUUAUUUAGUUGUUUGGAAGAAGGCCGGAUUCACUGGAAGCUCUUUUUACUUGACAAAAUUGCAGAUAAAAAUAAUUGCAUCAAUGAACCCUUCUUAUGCUGCAAUACCAGAAACAACUUCAGCCAUCGCCGUCGUAAGCGAAUUUGAUGUACACGCAAGCUACAAUAGUGUUAAACAAUAUUUUAAUGAUACAUUUAGUAUUGGAAUAUUUUUAAAAGAUUGACAAGGUUCAUGAAAUUUAAUUUGAAUUAGAUCAGUUUUCACUACAAGAAAACAUACCAAUAUGAAUGUUUAAAAAUUCCAGAAAUCAAGAAAUGAAAAUGCCAGUUUUGUUUAGGAAAAAAAAUAUUCUGUACUUCCUAAGAAUUCUCCAGCACAAGGUUUUUUUUCCUGUUGGAUGAAAUUUUUCAUUCUCAUAAGGAAACCAAAUGAA